CAUCCCCCUUCAUCGGCCCGGUAGCUUCCAGACGCAAGAGCUCUUCGCGGCCGAGUUCCGCGCCGCGGACCCGGGCCGGCCUACCUGGCUGCCGGCCUACCUGGCUGACUGCUCGCGCCGUCUCUCCCGAACAAGCCGGCCUCAGUUUCCCCUGAAGAGACAGGGGAACUUGCAAGCUCAGUCACUUCCGGUGCCGCGGCAACGCGCGCGAGCCCGAGACGCAAAGGGAGUGCGCGCCUUGAGUGACUGGCAUCAGGACCGGGGAGAGAUCGCCCCCUCGCGGUAGAUCUGGGGAAUCGGGAGGCGCAAAAAAUCAACAUUUAUAAUCACAUUUCCAUUUAUUCAUUCAGUCAGUCAGUCAGUCACUCAUCAGUCAAUCAGCCUAUUUCAUCCGUCCGUCAGUUUAUAUAUAGAAGAAGCAUCGCCUUGUGGUUAAGCACUUUGUCUGGAUUCUAACUCUGCUAGUUAGGCAAGUUUCUCAACUGCUCUGUGCUUCAAUGUCCUCAAUUGUAAAAUGGGUAAUAGUACCAACCUCUCUCGUUGAGCUAUUGUGAUGAUUAAGAGAGUUAUUAAUUGUAAACUCCAUAGGACAGGCCGGGCGCGGUGGCUCACGCCCGUAAUCCC
rnacentral:lncRNA from 10 species